AGGUGCUGCACGGCUGUCGUCAGCUCGUGUCGUGAGAUGUUGGGUUAAGUCCCGCAACGAGCGCAACCCUCGUCACUAGUUACUAACGGUUCGGCCGAGGACUCUAGUGAGACUGCCUUCGUAAGGAGGAGGAAGGUGAGGACGACGUCAAGUCAUCAUGGCCCUUACGGCUAGGGCAACACACGUGCUACAAUGGUUGGGACAGUGAGACGCAAUACCGCGAGGUGGAGCAAAUCUAUAAACCCAAUCUCAGUUCGGAUUGUUCUCUGCAACUCGAGAACAUGAAGCUGGAAUCACUAGUAAUCGUAGAUCAGCUAUGCUACGGUGAAUACGUUCCCGGGUCUUGUACUCACCGCCCGUCACACCAUGGGAGUUGAUUUCACCCGAAGCGGGGAAGCUAAAUUGGCUACCCUCCACGGUGGAAUUAGCGACUGGGGUGAAGUCCUAACAAGGUA
rnacentral:rRNA from 1 species